AUUGAACGCUGGCGGAAUGCUUUACACAUGCAAGUCGAACGGUAGAGGGGGCAACCCCUCGAGAGUGGCGCACGGGUGAGUAAUAUAUCGGAACGUGCCCAGUCGUGGGGGCUAACGUAGCGAAAGUUACGCUAAUACCGCAUACGAUCUAAGGAUGAAAGCGGGGGAUCGCAAGACCUCGCGCGAUUGGAGCGGCCGAUAUCAGAUUAGGUAGUUGGAGGGGUGAUGGCUCACCAAGCCAACGAUCUGUAGCUGGUCUGAGAGGACGACCAGCCACAGUGGGACUGCGACACGGUCCAGACUCCUACGGGAGGCAGCAGUGGGGAAUUUUGGACAAUGGACGCAAGUCUGAUUCAGCCAUUCCGCGUGCAGGAUGAAGGCCCUCGGGUUGUAAACUGCUUUUGUACGGAACGAAAAGGUCUCUCUUAAUACGGGGGGCUCAUGACGGUACCGUAAGAAUAAGCACCGGCUAACUACGUGCCAGCCGCCGCCGUAA
rnacentral:rRNA from 1 species